rnacentral:rRNA from 1 species
AACGGUCCUAAGGUAGCGAAAUUCCUUGUCGGGUAAGUUCCGACCCGCACGAAAGGCGUAACGAUUUGGGCACUGUCUCAACAACAGACUCGGUGAAAUUGUAAUUCCGGUGAAGAUGCCGGAUACCUGCGACAGGACGGAAAGACCCCAUGGAGCUUUACUGUAGCUUGACAUUGGGUCUUGGUACUACAUGUACAGGAUAGGUGGGAGGCUUUGAACCCAGGACGCCAGUUUUGGCGGAGCCAUCCUUGGGAUACCACCCUUGUAGUACUGGGACUCUAACCAUAGGCCAUGAAUCUGGUCUUGGGACACUGUCAGGUGGGCAGUUUGACUGGGGCGGUCGCCUCCCAAAAGG